GAUUAUGGCUCAGAACGAACGCUGGCGGCAUGCCUAAUACAUGCAAGUCGAACGGAGAUAGCAAUAUCUUAGUGGCGAACGGGUGCGUAACACGUGAGCAACCUGCCUUAUACAUCGGAAUAACAGCUGGAAACGGCUGCUAAUACCGGAUAAGACCACACCAAGGCAUCUUGGAGAGGUCAAAGCGAAUUAGCGGUAUAAGAUGGGCUCGCGUCCAAUUAGCUAGUUGGUGGGGUAACGGCCCACCAAGGCAACGAUUGGUAGCCGACUUGAGAGAGUGAUCGGCCACACUGGAACUGAGACACGGUCCAGACUCCUACGGGAGGCAGCAGUAGGGAAUAUUGGGCAAUGGAGGAAGCCUCUUACCCAGCAAUGCCGCGUGAAUGAUGAAGGUCUUAUGGAUUGUAAAGUUCUUUAAUUGGGGACGAAAGAAAUGACGGUACCCAAAGAAUAAGCCCCGGCUAACUAUGUGCCAGCCGCCGC
rnacentral:rRNA from 1 species